ACACUCUUUCUCACCAUUUAAAGAUCUCAAAUACCAUUAAAACAAACCUAAACUAGUUGCUCUUUUCAAUUUUUCCUAUAAAAAAAGAGACGUACAAGUAUUUGUGAAUUUUUGAUUCUCUUGCUCACGCUAUCCCAUAAUAUCAAUGUAUAGUUUAUGGUAAACACACAACCACACUCACAUACUUACAAAUCCCACAAGAAGUGUAUUUUGUAGUAUGCGCCAUUUGAUUGUAUGUAUUUCACUUAAUCUACCGGUUUUUCCUCUUUUUCCUUUAUAAUCUAUUCUGCUAGAAAUAUACUUUAAAAUAUAUUGUUUUUUUUAUUGUUUUUUUCUUAAUUUUUUUAUUUUAUAUUUUCUGUGACUUUUUCUAUUACUUUUUUUGUGUAUUAUUAUUCUUUUAUUUUAUUUUAUUUAAAUGCGCAUGCCAAUCGAAAGAAUUAGACCUCUCUGAAGUGAAUUUAUAUAUUUUUCGUGUUUUGUUGUCUUGACGGUUGGUUUAUCCGUGGAUAAGACGCAGUUAUUUCUUGGGCGUACCUGCUAUCUUCUACUCGCUAUACUCUGUUGGCAGUAUUUUGUCAAAGAAUAUAUAGAAAAAAAAAACUAUUUGCUGUUUUUAUUUUUCUUCGUAGGUAAUUGAAGAAUUUUCUUCUUUCUUUUCAAUCUAAGCUGGUUUGCUUUCUUAAAAGAAAAAUGAAAAAAGUAAUGUUCUCUAUUACGUAUUCAUAGAUAAAAUAAUAUAAUAUCGCCAAUUUAUGUAUUUACACAAAUACACACAGACACGGAGACUAAGACGAAGACGGAGACACUCACUCAGAUCAUAAAGGAUUAGAGUGGAUCCCAAAAUACAAGUUCUGUUUUGGAUAAUCUAGUUGUGAAGGUUUUCACUAUUGGGGGAAUCCCAGAAGCUUACAUUUUUAGUCCUGAUGUUCUAUUUUCUUGCAAAGAAAUCGUAUCCUGGAAUUAUUGAUUGUUCACAAAACUUACAACGAAAAAUAUGACAUGCUGAAUUUAUGAUAUUUUUAAAAUAUUUCAAAUUGUAAUUUUAAUUGUAUUCCAUAUUAUUUGAUUUAUUUUUUGUAUUGUUGUUGAGAUAAAAUUAAAGUUGAGAAAAUGAUCUUUCAAUCAUUAUGAGUUCUUCUUAUUUCUAAUUUCUGGACCUUGCAGGACAAAAUGACGCUCCUUCUUA